rnacentral:rRNA from 1 species
UACGUAGGGGGCUAGCGUUGUCCGGAAUCAUUGAGCGUAAAGCGCGCGUAGGCGGCCAGAUAAGUCCGGUGUGAAAGUCAAAGGCUCAACCUUUGAAUGCCGCUGGAAACUGUCUGGCUUGAGUCCGGAAGGGGCGAGUGGAAUUCCUGGUGUAGCGGUGAAAUGCGCAGAUAUCAGGAGGAACACCAAUGGCGAAGGCAGCUCGCUGGAACGGUACUGACG